rnacentral:lncRNA from 1 species
GAUUUCGUGCUCAACUACUCACUCCCACUCGGCAUUCAAAGCUCACAUUCAAUCCAACGCGAUCCACAUCGGAAGAACCACCAUUACCCACGCUUCCAACGGCAAAAAGGGUUCUUCCGGGUUUUGUUAUUUCUCAUUGAUAUAUUUGCCUUCUUAAGAGAUUUCAAAUCUUUGUGAAACACUCGUUUAUUGUGCUUGUUCCAGUCAAGGGACUUGGAACAAGGGAUAGGCGCCCAAGCCUAGGUUAAAUUGGGGGAUUGUAGGGUUCGUUGUUAGCCCGGUGUAAAACAACGAGU